rnacentral:rRNA from 1 species
CUGGCGGCGUGCCUAAUACAUGCAAGUCGAACGGUCUUUCUAUGGAAGCUUGCUUCCACUGAGAAGAUAGUGGCGAACGGGUGAGUAACACGUGGGUAACCUGCCCAUAAGAGGGGGAUAACAUCCGGAAACGGGUGCUAAUACCGCAUAGUUUUCUUGAUCGCAUGAUCGGGAAAGGAAAGACGGCCUUUGUGCUGUCGCUUAUGGAUGGACCCGCGGCGUAUUAGUUAGUUGGUGAGGUAACGGCUCACCAAGACGAUGAUACGUAGCCGACCUGAGAGGGUGAUCGGCCACAUUGGGACUGAGACACGGCCCAAACUCCUACGGGAGGCAGCAGUAGGGAAUCUUCCGCAAUGGGCGAAAGCCUGACGGAGCGAACCGCCGCGUGAACGAAGAAGGCCGUGAGGUUGUAAAGUUCUUUUCGGGAGGGGGAACAACCGUGGCAGGGAAUGGCCGCGGGAUGACGUGAAUCCCGGAAUAAGCCCCGGCUAACUACGUGCCAGCAGCCGC